rnacentral:rRNA from 1 species
UACGAAGGGAGCUAGCGUUGUUCGGAAUCACUGGGCGUAAAGCGCACGUAGGCGGAUGUGUCAGUCAGGGGUGAAAUCCUGGAGCUCAACUCCAGAACUGCCUUUGAUACUGGCGACCUUGAGUCCGGGAGAGGUGAGUGGAACUGCGAGUGUAGAGGUGAAAUUCGUAGAUAUUCGCAAGAACACCAGUGGCGAAGGCGGCUCACUGGCCCGGUACUGACGCUGAGGUGCGAAAGCGUGGGGAGCAAACAGG